AAUCAACGCUGGCGGCGUGCCUCAGACAUGCAAGUCGAACGAUUAAAGCUCCCUUCGGGGAGUGCAUAAAGUGGCGCACGGGUGAGUAACACGUAAGUAAUCUACCUUCGAGUGGGGAAUAACGUUCGGAAACGAACGCUAAUACCGCAUAAUGCAGCGGCAUCUAUGAUGACAGUUGUUAAAGAUUUAUCGCUUGAAGAGGAGCUUGCGGCAGAUUAGCUAGUUGGUAAGGUAAUGGCUUACCAAGGCUACGAUCUGUAUCCGGUCUAAGAGGACGGUCGGACACACUGACACUGAAUAACGGGUCAGACUCCUACGGGAGGCAGCAGUCGGGAAUUUUGGGCAAUGGGCGAAAGCCUGACCCAGCAACGCCGCGUGAAGGAUG
rnacentral:rRNA from 1 species